rnacentral:rRNA from 1 species
CCUACGGGAGGCAGCAGUGGGGAAUAUUGGACAAUGGGCGAAAGCCUGAUCCAGCAAUGCCGCGUGAGUGAUGAAGGCCUUAGGGUCGUAAAGCUCUUUUACCCGGGAUGAUAAUGACAGUACCGGGAGAAUAAGCUCCGGCUAACUCCGUGCCAGCAGCCGCGGUAAUACGGAGGGAGCUAGCGUUGUUCGGAAUUACUGGGCGUAAAGCGUACGUAGGCGGUUAUUCAAGUCAGAGGUGAAAGCCCGGGGCUCAACCCCGGAACUGCCUUUGAAACUAGAUAGCUAGAAUCUUGGAGAGGUCAGUGGAAUUCCGAGUGUAGAGGUGAAAUUCGUAGAUAUUCGGAAGAACACCAGUGGCGAAGGCGACUGACUGGACAAGCAUUGACGCUGAGGUACGAAAGCGUGGGGAGCAAACAGGAUUAGAUACCCUGGUAGUCCACGCCGUAAACGAUGAUAACUAGCUGUCCGGGUACUUGGUAUCUGGGUGGCGCAGCUAACGCAUUAAGUUAUCCGCCUGGGGAGUACGGUCGCAAGAUUAAAACUUAAGGAAUUGACGGCUGAGACCGNGCGAGACGACACGAGGAGAG